UACGGGGGGAGCAAGCGUUGUUCGGAUUUACUGGGCGUAAAGGGCGCGUAGGCGGUGACUUAAGCGUGUGGUGAAAGCUCGGGGCUCAACCCCGAGUCGGCCGUGCGAACUGGGUCACUGGAGCAGAUCAGAGGCAGGCGGAAUUCCGGGUGUAGCGGUGGAAUGCGUAGAGAUCCGGAAGAACACCGGUGGCGAAGGCGGCUUGCUGGGCCUUACCUGACGCUGAGGAGCGAAAGCGUGGGGAGCGAACAGG
rnacentral:rRNA from 1 species